GAAAUGCGAUAAGUAAUGUGAAUUGCAGAAUUCAGUGAAUCAUCGAAUCUUUGAACGCACAUUGCGCCCGCCAGUAUUCUGGCGGGCAUGCCUGUUCGAGCGUCAUUUCAACCAUCAAGCCCCGCGCUUGUGUUGGGGACCUGCGGCUGCCGCAGGUCCUGAAAACCAGUGGCGGGCUCGCUGUCACACCGGGCGUAGUAGAUUUUAUCUCGCUCAGGGCGUGCUGCGGGUUCCGGCCGUUAAAAAGCCUUUUUUACCCAAGGUUGACCUCGGAUCAGGUAGGAAGACCCGCUGAACUUAAGC
rnacentral:misc_RNA from 1 species